GUUUUACUGUGCUGGCCAAUCAGUAGUAAAUAUACAUUUACGUAAUUUCCUUAGACAAGGUGGCGGCGAUAAGACGUGAGCUUUAGUAAUUAGUUUAUUGUUGUUGACAGACAUAUGUACAGUGAGACAAAACGAUGACCGCAUCGACGGCGAAUCCUUCAGAGAUGAUAGUUUAUAUCUGCGUCCUUUUUGUACAAUAGAGUACAGAAUACAUCCUGAAGCUUGUGUUGGGGAGGAUUCAGUGUCUGUUGAGGCACAUGUGAAUGUGUUAUAAAGUGAGUAUCAGAAAACACAUCCAGACACUUCGACUGUCAAAGACCACACGACAGGAACAUGCUCCUCGAGACGCUGAGAAAGCACAGAAGGAAUGUCUGUGGAGGAUGUACUCAAAAAAUACACAUACUUCAGGACACCUGCUGGAGUAUGGUUGACUGGAAGUCUGUCAGUCCAGAUGUGAGGAAGACAUACAGAGUGGAGCUGGAGCUCAGCAGAUGUGUGAUGCUGUAGAUACUGUGGUCUUGGAAAGAACCAAUCUUCACAGCUUUCUAUUCAGACAAAGAGUUUGCUGGAUUCUGUUCUAUGGACUGCUACUACAGAAUGAAUGAAUGAAUUAAUGAAUGAGUGGUUUAUCUAUCUAUCUAUCCAUCUAUCUAUCCAUCUAUCUAUCUAUCUAUCUAUCUAUCUAUCCAUCCUUUUACUUGAAUUGGUGACUGAAACUGAAAG